CGAAGGGCCUCCCGGUGCGUCCCAGCUGAUUGGGCCCCGGAUUUGAGGCCUCCGUGUGCCGGGCGCUCCGUGACCCCCGCAGGCGGCCUUGGCCGGAGGGAGCGGGGAAAGGCCUUCGCGACGCGGGUGCGCAAGGGGGCCCAGGAACCCUGCCCGGGGGCGGUGAGCCGAGCCCCAGCUCCGCGCACCUGCCAGCGCGGGAUCGCGCCGGCCUCGGGCGCAAAAGUAAGGCCUGAAAGCCUGGAUCUCGGGGUUCGGGCUCCGAGGACUCCGCCGCCCGCUCCAGGCCCCCCGGACCACCCGCUCUCCCGCGGCCCGGAGCCCGAGAGGAGGGUGACAAAGCUCGGUCCCUGCGCCCCUGCACCUCGGCUCAGCUCUCAGAGCCCAGGUAACGGCCCCUCAGCGGCAGGUGACGCUGGCCCCCAGCAGGGGUCCCCGGGGCCCUUGAGCUCCCGCCCACGCAGCCACGCUGCCGAGCCCUCGCCCCUGUGCCCUGGGCUGCGGGUCCCCGGGCUGAAGGGUCUCCCGCGUCUGAACGCCCGACACCUGUGCGUGUGGCCGCCUCCGGAAGAUGGUCUUUCACAGACACCAGCUGAAGACCUCGACAGGCCAGCUGACAGCGCCGGCCUCUCGCCCACCCCAUUUCCUCCUGGACCCGCUGACCAGCCCCCCACCCCCCUGCUCGGGCCCUGGGUCCUGGUGAUCUGGGGAGACGUGGGGCAGGGAGCCGGGCAGGGCGCAGCAGUGUCCCCCCACCCCGCAGGUCGUUUCGUCUCCACCGACCGCGCUGGGCCCUGGCUCGCGGGGUCAUCAGGAAUUCUGUGCACACCUCGGCCCUGAAUAAUGAAUCUAACCGUCCCGGGUGAUGGAUUUUUUUUAAUGAGCCAUUUGCAUAUUGUGAUUAAUCAGUCGUCCCCGGGGCUGGAGCUGCAGGAGCCGCGUGGUCGUGUCCUUGGCCCACCACUGGGGUCAAGGAAGCAAAGACGCCCACGGCUGCUGGACUGAGGCCUUGGGGACAGGGUGGACACGCGUGGACGCCAGCCGGGCUUCCAGCAGGGCCUCCAGCCCUGCCUCUGGACGUCCCUGCCGUGGGGACCAAUGUCCUCUGCAGACGCCGGGUCCUCUGAGGCCCUCACGGCCCCAGGCCUCCACUGGCCUCCAGACCCUCGGGGCAGCUGCCGCCCGGCACCUCCUGAGACGCGGGACCCCGAGACGGACGGGGCUGCAGGUGCUACGCUCAGCGGGGUCCCUCCCUGGCCCGCGGCAGCCUGGGGCCACGUCCACCCUCAAGGCUGUGACACUGGACGGCUGCCCGUGCCCCUGCCCCUGCCCCCUGUCCCUGCCCCUUGUCCCUGCCCCCUCCCCCUGCCUGUGCCCCCUGCUCCUGCCCCCAGCCCCUGCCCCCUGCCCCCUCACCCUGCCCCCCGCCUG
rnacentral:lncRNA from 1 species